rnacentral:rRNA from 1 species
UACGGAGGGGACUAGCGUUGUUCGGAAUUACUGGGCGUAAAGCGCACGUAGGCGGAUUUGUAAGUCAGGGGUGAAAGUCCCGGGGCUCAACCUCGGAACUGCCUUUGAUACUGCAAAUCUCGAGUCCGGAAGAGGUGAGUGGAAUUCCUAGUGUAGAGGUGAAAUUCGUAGAUAUUAGGAAGAACACCAGUGGCGAAGGCGGCUCACUGGUCCGGUACUGACGCUGAGGUGCGAAAGCGUGGGGAGCAAACAGG